CUACGGGUGGCAGCAGUGGGGAAUAUUGGACAAUGGGGGAAACCCUGAUCCAGCAAUGCCGCGUGUGUGAAGAAGGCCUGCGGGUUGUAAAGCACUUUCGGUUGGGAGGACUGCUUCUAGCACUAAUAUUGUUGGAAGUUGACGUUACCUUCAGAAGAAGCACCGGCUAACUCCGUGCCAGCAGCCGCGGUAAUACGGAGGGUGCUAGCGUUAAUCGGAAUUACUGGGCGUCAAGCGCGCGUAGGCGGCUAGAUCAGUCGGGUGUGAACGCCCCGGGCUUAACCUGGGAACUGCAUCCGAUACUGUCUAGCUUGAGUACAGGAGAGGGGAGUGGAAUUCCACAUGUAGCGGUGAAAUGCGUAGAUAUGUGGAGGAACACCAAUGGCGAAGGCAGCUCUCUGGCCUGAUACUGACGCUGAGGUGCGAAAGCGUGGGGAGCAAACAGGAUUAGAUACCCGCGUAGUC
rnacentral:rRNA from 1 species